rnacentral:rRNA from 1 species
GACGAACGCUGGCGGCGUGCUUAACACAUGCAAGUCGAACGGAAAGGCCCUGCUUGCAGGGUACUCGAGUGGCGAACGGGUGAGUAACACGUGGGUGAUCUGCCCUGCACUUCGGGAUAAGCCUGGGAAACUGGGUCUAAUACCGGAUAGGAGCCAUUUUUAGUGUGAUGGUUGGAAAGUUUUUUCGGUGUAGGAUGAGCUCGCGGCCUAUCAGCUUGUUGGUGGGGUAAUGGCCUACCAAGGCGGCGACGGGUAGCCGGCCUGGGAGGGUGGACGGCCACAUUGGGACUGAGGUACGGCCCAGACUCCUACGGGAGGCAGCAGUGGGGAAUAUUGCACAAUGGGCGCAAGCCUGAUGCAGCGACGCCGCGUGGGGGAUGACGGCCUUCGGGUUGUAAACUCCUUUCGCUAGGGACGAAGCUUUUUGUGACGGUACCUAGAUAAGAAGCACCGGCUAACUACGUG